GUGCUCGCUUCGGCAGCACAUAGACUAAAAUUGGAACGACACAGAGAACAUUAGCAUGGCCCCUGCGCAAGGAUGACGCGCAAAUUCGGGAAAGCGUUCCAUCUUAA
rnacentral:snRNA from 1 species